rnacentral:rRNA from 1 species
UACGUAGGGCGCAAGCGUUGUCCGGAAUUAUUGGGCGUAAAGAGCUCGUAGGUGGUGUGUCGCGUCUGCCGUGAAAGCCCGGGGCUUAACUCCGGGUCUGCGGUGGAUACGGGCAGACUAGAGGCAGGUAGGGGAGAACGGAAUUCCCGGUGUAGCGGUGAAAUGCGCAGAUAUCGGGAGGAACACCGGUGGCGAAGGCGGUUCUCUGGGCCUGGACUGGCGCUGAGGGGCGAAAGCGUGGGGAGCGAACAGG